UACGAAGGGGGCUAGCGUUGCUCGGAAUUACUGGGCGUAAAGGGCUCGUAGGCGGCCAACUAAGUCAGACGUGAAAUCCCUCGGCUUAACCGGGGAACUGCGUCUGAUACUGGAUGGCUGGAGUUUGGGAGAGGGAUGCGGAAUUCCAGGUGUAGCGGUGAAAUGCGUAGAUAUCUGGAGGAACACCGGUGGCGAAGGCGGCAUCCUGGACCAACACUGACGCUGAGGAGCGAAAGCCAGGGGAGCAAACGGG
rnacentral:rRNA from 1 species